GCAAGCAGGGGGUCGUCGGUUCGAAUCCCGACUGNCUCCACCAGAACGGUUGUUGNAAUGGGAAGCGCACACUUUAGAUCUGGCCGGCGUUGCAGACGGCCAUUGUUCUUUGAAAAUCGGGACGUAGAAAACGUUUGAGACUAUAACUAGUCAUCAACGUGUCGAGGCUAAGGCGGGUGCCAUGCUGGCAACAGCGGGAGCACCUGAUUUGAAGUAAAUCGUUGAACUGUUCGCCGGUUCAGUGAUCCCGAGGCGACUUGGGGUUAUAUGGUCAAGCGAAUAAGCGCACACGGUGGAUGCCUUGGCGGUCAGAGGCGAUGAAGGACGUGCUAA
rnacentral:misc_RNA from 1 species